rnacentral:rRNA from 1 species
UACGAAGGGGGCUAGCGUUGUUCGGAAUUACUGGGCGUAAAGCGCACGUAGGCGGAUACUUAAGUUAGAGGUGAAAGCCCGGGGCUCAACCCCGGAAUUGCCUUUAAGACUGCAUCGCUAGAAUUGUGGAGAGGUAAGUGGAAUUCCGAGUGUAGAGGUGAAAUUCGUAGAUAUUCGGAAGAACACCAGUGGCGAAGGCGACUUACUGGACACAUAUUGACGCUGAGGUGCGAAAGCGUGGGGAGCAAACAGG